UACGUAUGGGGCAAGCGUUAUCCGGAUUUACUGGGUGUAAAGGGAGUGUAGGCGGCGGGGCAAGCCUGAUGUGAAAGCCCGGGGCUCAACCCCGGGACUGCAUUGGGAACUGCCCUGCUGGAGUGCCGGAGGGGCAGGCGGAAUUCCUAGUGUAGCGGUGAAAUGCGUAGAUAUUAGGAGGAACACCAGUGGCGAAGGCGGCCUGCUGGACGGUGACUGACGCUGAGGCUCGAAAGCGUGGGGAGCAAACAGG
rnacentral:rRNA from 1 species